rnacentral:rRNA from 4 species
CCUGGCGGCACUAGCGCGGUGGUCCCACCUGACCCCAUGCCGAACUCAGAAGUGAAACGCCGUAGUGCCGAUGGUAGUGUGGGGUCUCCCCAUGUGAGAGUAGGGAACUGCCAGGC